AUAAUCUAGCAUUAAUUCAUCAUUGAUACGAUGUGUACGGCAAGCUAUAUAUCAUUGUCCCUUUCGUGUCUGGCGCAUGGCAGGAGGCGCGUCCUGACAGCCCGGCUUCUACCGCUACGCCGCCCCACAACCAUCCGCAGGGUCCGGAGACAUCUUUGA
rnacentral:lncRNA from 1 species